rnacentral:lncRNA from 1 species
GCCAUUGAGCAACAGUGGACAGGAACUAGGAGCUACCAGGAGCAUGGUCACCGGAUGCUGCUCAUCUGGCUGCAUGGUGUGGCCACAGCUGGGAAGAACCCCAGCAAAGCACUGUUCGAGGACCUCAUGGCCAUUGGCAGGAGAGACUUGGCAGAAAGCACCAGGAAGAUGGCAAACGGUGAGCCCACGGCCCCCAGGAGGUGUACAGUCAUGUGAGCUUCUGGAACGCCUGGAGACUACCUGCACGGAAGAGGAUGUCUAUAAGGGCUUUCCGGGCAGCCUCUGCACACAGACCUCCAGCUGCCGCUACCGAACAUGGAGCCCAGCAGGAAAUGCCAGCACUUUUUGAAGGAUGGGCCAUGGGUCUAUUCUAGGUUUUCUGGGUCAUCGUGUCCCAGGAGUGUGGCCCUUCUUUCUAGCUCUCGACUUAUUUUGUUGUGUUCGUGAGGGUGCAUAUGUAUGUGCCUGUGUCACGGGCGUGUGGAGGCCAGAGGACGCUUGGUGGGGUAUUCCUCCCCAGGCACUGUCCAUCUUGGGGUUUUCUUUUUGUUGUUGUUGUUUGAAACAGUCUGUCUGUAUGUUCCCAGCAGUCAUGGAAUACCUUGUGUUUUUGAGGCAAGGCCUCUCAUUGGCUUAACUAGUCUGACUGGCCAGUGAGCCCAGUGACCCUCCUGCUUUGUCUCUCUGUGCCCCGGUUUUGAUGUGGGUUCUGAGGAUCAAACUCAGUUCCUCAGGUUGCAUGGCCAAUGCUGUACCAACUGAGCUCUUCUCCCCAAGCCUCUCCGCUCAUUCUCACCGCCAGCCAUCACCGUAGAGCAUCGGGAAGCACCCCUGAGGUCUGUACAGCCAGGGAGGAAAAACAGCUUACCCAGGUCAUUCCACAAUUCAAGCUACGUCAAACCAGCAGCCCUCCAACCCCAGCCUGCAGGAAGGGCCUCAUUCAUUCAAACUGGACAGUCCUUAACUCAUCAAGGACAACUCAGUGCUCCCUAGGGCUAGGCAGACAGGAGCUGCCCAGCUGAUUCCACAGCUGUUUGCAUUUAGUGCAUUUGUAUAAUCGAGAGCCCAGGAGGCAGGCGCUCUGCUGCUCUUCCCUCUGAUCAGGAAAUUGGAUAUAUGAUGGGAUAUAUAACUUUUUAAGUGUUUCUUUGGUCUUUUUUAUCUUGAAGUCACUUCAGACUUACAAAAAAGAUUGCAAAAUAGAACUGAGAAUGUUCAAGUGUUCUGCACACAGCCUCUCUAAACAUCAACUCUUGCAU